CCGGACGUCGGAGGUGGAGGUAUAUAGGUUUUGGUUUUUGGGAGUGGCAGCGAAAGGCCUCUCUUCGUCUUCAGCUUCAGAAGGAAGGCGUCCGUUGGGGCUUUCUUUCCGUGUUGAGUGAGGCGUCGACGGCCUGUGAAACAAGUUUCCUGGAAGAGAUCCUCGGAGAAAAGGAAGCUUGGAAGCUGUCGGCCGAGAUGUCUAGCUACGUGAACGACCUGUGGCCGGGCUCGCCGCGCAAGGUGUCCCCCUCGUCGUCGCGGUCGGGCCCGUCCAGCCGCCUGUCCUCGGCGUCGGGGAGCCGCUCUCCCCAGAGCUCUCGAUCUCCGUCCCGGUCCAGCAUCUCGAGCCGCUCGUGGUCCAGGAGCCGCAGCCCGCCCCGGCGGAGGAGCAGGUCGAGGUCCCGCUCCCGGAGGCGCUACCAGAGGAGGUACCGGCGCUAUUCCCGAUCCUACUCGCGGAGCCGCUCGCGGUCCCGCAGCCGCCGGUACCCGGAGAGGCGCUACGGCUCCCCCAGGAGGUCCUGCCGGUCCCGCAGCCGCUCCCGCUCCCGGGGCCGCUCCUAUUACCGGAGGGCCUACGCUAUCGCGCGCAGCCGCCGGUACUACGGCUUCGGCCGCACCUUCUACUCCGAGGAGCGCAGAAGCUGGAGGGGGCGAUCCCGGACCAGGUCGCGGAGCCCAACCCCCUUUCGCCUAAGUGAAAAAGAUCGAAUGGAGCUGUUAGAAAUAGCAAAAGCCAAUGCAGCAAAAACAUUAGGAACUGCCAACUUUGACUUGCCAGCUAGUCUCAGAACUGUUCCUGUAUCUAAAGAAACAAACCGUGGAACGGCUGUACUGAAUAACCGGGCAAAGUCUGAGAAAUCAUGAAUGUGGUCUCCAGACAUUGAUGAAGAAAAUCUGUUGGUAAUUGAUACAUGGGCAAAAGCAUCAGAGGUUUAACUAAUUUGAACUUUAUGUUGACACACUGAAAGCUUAGUUUUUUGUUGAUAGAUCCAUGUGCAUGCUAGAAUUUGGGACAGGUACUAUUUGAAUAAGGUACUAAAGACAAUUUUUAAACAAAAGUGUACUUCUAGUGGUGGGGCAUCUGAUACAGGUGUCCCUUUCAUAAUAUAUGCAAUAUAUUCCAGAUGUUUUGAGAGAUUACAGAAGAAGAGGCCUGCUUCACUUGCAGAUAAGUUUAUUACAAUUCUCCGGAAAUUCUGCAGUAUAAAAUUGAUAGCUUUAAACGUUUAAGGUAGUUAGGAAUUGAUAGGCAAACCCACAUCUGGGUCUGAACGAGAGGAGAUAAUCCAUCUUUCCUAUCUUAACCGAGCCUAAGUAUUAGUGAUAGACAAAUAAGAUCUUAGUUGAGUUGCUUUUUCAGAUGAUCAGGUUCCCAACUGGAUUGACAAAUGCCUUAGUUCUUUGAAACUAGGUAUUUUCUGGUACAACUACUUUCAAAGUUAUUUGAAUUUGCAUCAGGAGAUACAAUACUGCUUUAUGGGGAAGAGUGUUUUAAGCCUAUCAUUCAAGCACCUUUGUUAUGGGGAAAACUCAACAGAGUACCAUGUUUAUUUUAGGCUGUUAAUUAUUUGGUUAGAUCUCUCCAACUAAAUUUAUAAUACAUUUUUGGGCUGCUUUUUAUACAGUACUGUAAACCAAGGGUAUGGCUUUUUAAAAUACAUAUUUUUUCUUACCUGUCUAGCUGUCGGAAAAGUUAACAGAAGAUGAAACUAAAAAUCCCAAUGGAAAGUCUUCUCAGCAAAAAAGCAUAGCUUUUAGCUCUAAUAAUUCUGUAGCAAAGCCAAUGCUUCAGAAGUCAGCUAAAGCUACUGCUGAAGAGACCUCUUCAGGG